rnacentral:lncRNA from 1 species
UAAAAGUGUAUAAUGUGAGGAUGAGGCGGAGCAGCUUACGUGUGCGAUGGGUGAGGAUGAGGCGGAGCAGCACAUUAAAGGGGAUCCACAAGCCGUGAGAACUAACCAUAAUUGUUGAAUUGUAUUUCUUCUAUGAUGGUUGUAAUGAAUUGAGUAGAAUGGUAUGAAUUUAUACCUAAACUAUGAAUCAUGGUAAGUUAUGUGAUUGGGUGGAAAUUGUAUGAAGUGUAUGUGAUAUAGAUUAUGUUGAUUAUUUAUUUACUGAGCUGGAGGCUCAC